rfam:Hordeum vulgare subsp. vulgare, WGS project CAJW01000000 data, contig: morex_contig_72611
UUUCUACUCCCUCCGUCCCAAAAUUCUUCUCUUUGAUUUGUUUAGAUAUGAAUGUAUUUAGUCAUGUAUUAGUAUUUAGAUACAUCCAUUCCAAGAUAAACCAAAGAUAAGAAUUUUGGGAUGAAGGGACUAUUUG